UCUAUCAUCAUGGUAGCUGACAUUGGCUGUUCUAAUGAUUUCAUGCACUAACUUUGAAUGCAGGAGUUCCCUCCAAGGAGCAAGCUGGAUCGUAAAGUCUAUGGCAAUCAAGACAGUUCAAUAACUGAAGAGCACAUAGUGAAUCAACUAAAUGGACUUACCGUAAUUGAGGUGAUGUAAAUCUUGUCUCCACAUUCAAACUACAAUACUGAACUGAAUGUGCUAUGUCUUCUUACUCUGCAGGCUUUAAAAAACAAGAAGCUAUUCAUACUAGAUCA
rnacentral:lncRNA from 1 species